CAAUUAUCCGAUUCAGGCAAUCAAUUAUCCGAUUCGGGCAUUCAAUUAUCCGACUCAGUCUGAUACGUAAAGUCAAAACGGCGCACAUUUCUUUCAUGACGUCUUUCUAUGAUGCUCACUCACGUUUCAGCUGACCAAUAAAUGAUUGAUUCAAGAAAGGAAUCAUGGAUGGACCACCUGAGUUGAUGAAAGGAACGAGAGAACGCUUACGAUACAGG